GUGUGAGUACACUGUAUGUCAAUACAAGAGGUGUAUUAGCAUGAAUUGUCUGUUUGUGAAUGUAGGGGUAUAUUUGUGUGGAAUAUCUGAGGAGUGUGAAUGCUGGAGUGUGUUUGCCUAGAGUUGUGUGAAUGCAGGGGUGUGUUUAUGUGAAGUGUCUACACAUCCAGGCUCCUAUUUGCCCCUUUCUACACCCUUCAUGCUCCCUUAUA